rnacentral:rRNA from 1 species
CAUGCCGUAAACGAUGAUUACUAAGUGUUGGAGGGUUUCCGCCCUUCAGUGCUGCAGCUAACGCAUUAAGUAAUCCGCCUGGGGAGUACGACCGCAAGGUUGAAACUCAAAAGAAUUGACGGGGGCCCGCACAAGCGGUGGAGCAUGUGGUUUAAUUCGAAGCUACGCGAAGAACCUUACCAGGUCUUGACAUCUUCUGCCAACCUAAGAGAUUAGGCGUUCCCUUCGGGGACAGAAUGACAGGUGG